AACGAACGCUGGCGGCAUGCCUAACACAUGCAAGUCGAACGAGAUCUUCGGGUCUAGUGGCGCACGGGUGCGUAACGCGUGGGAAACUGCCCUUUGGUUCGGAAUAACAGUUGGAAACGACUGCUAAUACCGGAUGAUGACGAAAGUCCAAAGAUUUAUCGCCAGAGGAUGAGCCCGCGUAGGAUUAGCUAGUUGGUGUGGUAAAGGCGCACCAGGGCGACGAUCCUUAGCUGGUCUGAGAGGAUGAUCAGCCACACUGGGACUGAGACACGGCCCAGACUCCUACGGGAGGCAGCAGUGGGGAAUAUUGGACAAUGGGCGAAAGCCUGAUCCAGCAAUGCCGCGUGAGUGAUGAAGGCCUUAGGGUUGUAAAGCUCUUUUACCCGGGAUGAUAAUGACAGUACCGGGAGAAUAAGCUCCGGCUAACUCCGUGCCAGCCGCCGCAGUAA
rnacentral:rRNA from 1 species